UACGGAGGGUGCAAGCGUUAUCCGGAUUCACUGGGUUUAAAGGGUGCGUAGGCGGGCCGGUAAGUCAGUGGUGAAAUCUCCGAGCUUAACUCGGAAACUGCCAUUGAUACUAUUUGUCUUGAAUAUUGUGGAGGUAAGCGGAAUAUGUCAUGUAGCGGUGAAAUGCUUAGAUAUGACAUAGAACACCAAUUGCGAAGGCAGCUUACUACACAAUGAUUGACGCUGAGGCACGAAAGCGUGGGGAUCAAACAGG
rnacentral:rRNA from 1 species